GACGGAAGGUGCAAGCGUUGCUCGGAUUCAUUGGGCGUAAAGGGUGCGUAGGCGGCGCGGUAAGUCGGGUGUGAAAUCUCGGGGCUUAACUCCGAAACUGCAUUCGAUACUGCCGUGCUUGAGGACUGGAGAGGAGACUGGAAUUUACGGUGUAGCGGUGAAAUGCGUAGAUAUCGUAAGGAAGACCAGUGGCGAAGGCGGGUCUCUGGACAGUUCCUGACGCUGAGGCACGAAGGUCAGGGGAGCAAACGGG
rnacentral:rRNA from 1 species